GACGGAGGAUGCAAGCGUUAUCCGGAAUUAUUGGGCGUAAAGCGUCCGCAGGUGGCUGUUCAAGUCCGCUGUGAAAACUCGAGGCUCAACUUCGAGCUGUCGGUGGAAACUUUCUGGCUAGAGUCCGGAAGAGGAGAAUGGAAUUCCUGGUGUAGCGGUGAAAUGCGCAGAUAUCAGGAAGAACACCCGUGGCGAAGGCGGUUCUCUGGGACGGUACUGACGCUGAGACGCGAAAGCGUGGGGAGCGAACAGG
rnacentral:rRNA from 1 species